UACGGAGGGUGCGAGCGUUGUCCGGAAUCACUGGGCGUAAAGAGCUCGUAGGCGGUUUGUUGCGUCGGCUGUGAAAUCCCGAGGCUCAACCUCGGGUCUGCAGUCGAUACGAGCAAACUAGAGUGUUGCAGGGGAGACUGGAAUUCCUGGUGUAGCGGUGAAAUGCGCAGAUAUCAGGAGGAACACCGGUGGCGAAGGCGGGUCUCUGGGCAUUAACUGACGCUGGAGGAGCGAAAGCAUGGGGAGCGAACAGG
rnacentral:rRNA from 1 species